CUGGCGGCAGGCCAACACAUGCAAGUCGAGCGCACCUUCGGGUGAGCGGCGGACGGGUUAGUAACGCGUGGGAACAUACCCUUUUCUACGGAAUAGCCUCGGGAAACUGAGAGUAAUACCGUAUAAGCCCUUCGGGGGAAAGAUUUAUCGGGAAAGGAUUGGCCCGCGUUAGAUUAGAUAGUUGGUGGGGUAAUGGCCUACCAAGUCUACGAUCUAUAGCUGGUUUUAGAGGAUGAUCAGCAACACUGGGACUGAGACACGGCCCAGACUCCUACGGGAGGCAGCAGUGGGGAAUCUUAGACAAUGGGCGCAAGCCUGAUCUAGCCAUGCCGCGUGUGUGAUGAAGGCCUUAGGAUCGUAAAGCACUUUCGCCAGGGAUGAUAAUGACAGUACCUGGUAAAGAAACCCCGGCUAACUCCGUGCCAGCAGCCGCGGUAAUACGGAGGGGGUUAGCGUUGUUCGGAAUUACUGGGCGUAAAGCGUACGUAGGCGGAUUGGAAAGUUGGGGGUGAAAUCCCAGGGCUAACCCUGGAACUGCCUCCAAACUUUAGUCU
rnacentral:rRNA from 1 species